rnacentral:lncRNA from 1 species
CUGUUUGGCUGUCAGUGUGUGUGCAUUAAAAACCUGGGCAUUUUCCGGCUUUCCAGAGUCUUCAUUUCUCACUAACUUUUAGAGCCAAAGAUGCUGCGGGAUUCUACAGCUCAGCAGAGCAUGGGGGCAGGGCAUGCCAGGCGAGUGACCUCAGUCCUAGUGUACUCUCUCUAACACUCAAGUGGAAGACGCCUGAUGGUGUUCUCUGCACUGCAGUUGUGGGCGACUGGAGCAGCUGCUGCUUGGAUAGCAAGACCCCAAACACCAAGUGAAGGGAAUGACUUGGACUAAUGUUUCACUGAGCAGGCCUGAGACUAUAAUCAACCUCUGAGGUUAAAUUACAAAGCACCCUUCACACCUCAAAUGACUGAGGCUUUUAUAUGACCCAGCAAUGAACAAGCACAGAGGGACAGGCAUCUCCCACACAAGGGGGACAUCACUAAUCUGGGAGUUAUGUGGACACAAUCUGCUAUGGGUCAGACGCUUCCCUCUGAAGUCAUGUAAGGAGCGGUUCCAAGACACGAACAGCGACAACAAAUGUUACAGAUAAGCUCACAGAUGAGUCGGCCUGUGACGCCUGGGAGGCACAAGGACCCUGAACAGAGCGGUCAGCAGUGCCGAGACUGGCAAGGAGGUGACAGUGGUCUCAGCAAACGGAGAGGCUUGGUAUACUCUGAAUAAGUGUGGAGCAGUUGUGGCUGAAGGCCUUUGUGGGCUACAAUGGGAACUGGCAGGCCAACGUGGUCUGGAGGCCCGACACAGGGGGGAUGUGACUGCGUGACAGAGAGCAGUCGGCCAGCACCAUCACUUCUGCUAGGCCAACACAGAUGAUGUUGCUUCCACAGUGAAGAAAAAUGUCAUCGCCUGAGUCACACAGCCUCACCUUUGAUGUACUCCAGCCAAGACAGCCUCCACUUAGAGCACCUACAAGGGGGAGUGGGGCGCUGAGUAGCAGCUGGCUCGGCAGACUAUUUAUUAGUCAAGUGUCACGGCUUAAGGAAUUCCCAAACUGCAAGUAUUUGGCAAAAGGAUUCUGGCCCAAGAAAAACAAACAAAGCCUGCUGGAGGACUUUCAUUCUAAGGCCUCGAUUUGUUAAAAAUAUUUGAGGAUGGUGAUUAGCACAUCAUAAAAAUAAAGAGGCGCGCAGAAAGAAGACAUUAUGAGCUUGAUGUCACAACUGCUGGUGUUAGUUUUUCUGACAGAGGCUGGAAAACACCGGUGUUUGCUCUAUUUAAAGAAAAGAGUUUGACAGUACAUGCAAGAGGAUAGCAGAAUAUUUUCAAGUGUUUUAGGUCUCAGAAUAUGUAGCGCUCAUCAGACAUUCCCAUCUGACCAUGGUCCUUGAACCAUUCUCCUUGUCAAAGUCUUACGUAGCUCAACCCUGAAGCCUCCUGGAGGAAACUUAAGGCUUUAACCAUCCUCUGGUGGAAAGAGGCGGCUGUGCCAAUGGGAGCAGCUCCAAGUGAGGAGCCCUAGGUCACGGCUGGUCACAGGUGAGGGACUGAUCUGGCUGGCCAUGGUUAAAGGAGCAAGCCCUGCCUGGACACUGGUGAUGACCUGGAGUGACCCCUUCUAAAGGCUGGCAUUGUGAGACAAGCCAGAGAACCACGAGAAAAAGAAACGGCCGCUUCCUCACAGCUUUUAAGAUUUUCAGUUGUCUUACUGUAGUGCACUUGUGGUGUAUGGAGCGAGUAGACAUUUAUCCUCCAGAGCUCGGGAAUGAAAACUGUUAGCGCAGUAAAGCAAGCAGCACCCAAUCCAACCAGAAACCGAAUCAGGAGAAAACAAAAACAAAACCGAUCACCAAAGCAAGCAGCCCGCAGGGCUGGAGACUGCCUUGCUCCCCUGGCCACAAGCCACAAUUACCUUUUAAAGAUGGGAGUUUUUGUAGCUCUCUAUUAUUGCUGGCAUUAAACCGUGAAGAAUUC